AUUAUAACCAUACUAGCUAAGUGCCCGUGCGUUGCAACGGAGACACAUUGGGAGCUCCCGAAAUAGCCUCUUUAAGCACAACAUGUAAAUGCAUGUGAGCUACUGGUACAUGGUUGUAAGCAUAGCCAACCAUUUCACAGGAAAUAUUUUUCAUUAGAAUUACUGUUCAAAAAGAAACAACUGUAUCACAGAGAAGCGAUAGCCUAGUCAGGCAGCAAUAAUCGUGUAAGGAGUAACAUAAGGUUGUGAUUCAGUAUUCAAUUUAAAUUUCUGUGGUCAAUCCAGUUACACUCAAUGACAAUCAAUUCCAAUACAAUACUACCAACCCAUCUGACAACGAGCAGAUUUCUAUGCAUAAGCAAAUGAUUGGGUUCAUCGUAAACCUCAUUAGCAAAUGACACCCUUCAAGAAACAUGGUAUCAUGUUAUCUGACUAACAAAAUUGUUAACAAAAACAUAUUUCUGUGACUUUGUGUCUUGGUCUUUUCUUCAACUAUAUUGUGUGUUUUCUUCUCAACCCUCACAACCCUUCAAGAUGUGCCCAUCGCCUUUGUGGUCAGGCUCUGCAAUUGCUACAUCAUCGCUCAGCUAUGCUCCAUUGUUAUCAUUGCCUCGUUUUUAUUCCAUCUAUGCUUCGUCAUUAUGACUUGGAAAUCUCCUUUGUGUUUCUACUUUUCAGUCACCAACACAACUACCAAAUGAAACACGGCUUGAGAUUUUGGAUGGGGAAAUCAAGAAAUCAUACGUCAGCUUGAAGAUAAAACAUGCUGCCAUCAGGCUACUGGUAGCCAGCAUAGCUACCUACAAAAGAUUGAAAUAGAGCAAUCAGUGUAAAUCAUCAUGUAAUGGCUACUGAAACAAACUCAGGUGUUGCUAUGGCUACUGAAGCCAUCCAGCAUAUGCAUCGAUGUUUAGAAAAAAUAAUAAAGAACCUUUUCUGCAUUGAGAGUUCAAAAGGAAAAAAAAAAGAGAAAAUAUGGAGGGCAUUUAACUUUGCAAUCCUAACAAGUUACAAAAAUGGUUCCUUGUGGAAUAUCUGCAAUCAGAGUCAGCCGUCCACAGUACUAAAUUAAUACCAGCCCACAAGUUCCGUUCAGGAAGUUGGCCAAUUGAUGUAGGUCUUGAGGGUCUCCCUCAAACCAUGGUUCUGCUCUUCAUCAGGAAUACCAACAGAGCAAAAUCUGUAGAAAAUUUGCGUAAUUUACAUUGUAACUCAAAAAUAGCAAAAAAAAUAAAAAUUGCAUCCGUAGGAAUCUUGGAUCUGUAUGGAUCCUUCUUACUCAAUAAGUAUUCUCUAGACUUAUGUAAACCUGCAGGUUUCAGAUUAUAUCACCUUGUAUGAACAACCAGUUUAAGCUACGAUAGUAAACAGUAAACAAAGAAGAAGCACAACAGGUAUCCUGUGGCCUGUGUAGAGUUUUGCGUCUUCAUAGUUCAAUUCCUGGUUGAUCGCCCUUUGAAUUUUCUUUUCGCACUCCUUAAUGACCCUAUCUAUCAUAUCCUCGAGUUCUCUGUCGAAAUUUUCUGACCAUUUGCUUUUAUUUCUUCAUAGCUACCAAGAGCUCGGGAAGGCAACAAACACUAACAUAUGUAGGAAGAAAAAAUUACUAAGAAGCAUAACAAGGUAAAACUAAGAAUACUCUUUCCACUGUUGAAGCACACCUUCACAAGUAAUCACAUACAGGUGCUUUCUCUCUGCAGAAACAAAGCUCUAUCAACAAGGUAAGAUAAUUAAAAACCAGACCAUGUCCAUAUGAAAGUCACACAAUGAAAUCACUUCACAGAUGAGCUUUCCCACCAUAUACAUAAUAAGAGCAUUGGAUUCAUUUUAAAAAAUACGAAUCCGGGCAUGAGCUCAUGAGCUGUGAAUUUAUCACAUCUACAGAAAAUGAAACAGAAUGUUACACAAUAGAUAAUGUCUGAUCAAUAACCAUUUCCCAUCUUGCGAAAUGGCAAGCUUUCACGUGCUAGCAGUAUAGACUGGCAUAACAUGGUCCUUUAUGUCUGAAGCGGAUGUGGGCGUGGUCAACCGAAUCCGAGCUUUCGUUUUUGUCAAUUUAUGCUCUCAAAAUUAUAACUCAGCUACAUGUAUUGAAAAACUGCUACUCCUAUUAUUUUCUUUUUGUUUGCCUGCUUAUCAUCAAAGGUCUAUCUAGGAUACUGAUGGACAUUCAUUAACACAUCACAAACUUACUGGCGAUAGAGUUACUUGGAGGGUACUUUGAAAUGUCAUAAUUGAGUUAUGAUGGCUAAGCACUUUGAGAUGUCAAAUGAUUACUUGGAGGGCGCAGGGUACCUGAGAAGUUCUCAAAACUGUUGUUCAUACCUGCAAAGAAGGGGGAGGACGACUUGGACUCCAGAAGCGUAAGCAACUAUGGCGGCGCGGUGGAUUGGGGGAUGGGGAGACACUGGAGCAGGAGACCGGGAGGCGCGCGGGAGCAGAUUGGGUGGAGCGGCGAUGGAUCUAGAGGGUGGGGGCGCCGGAGGAGGAGGAAGGGGGGGGGGGGGGGGGGGGGGAGGGGCAGAGCAAGAUGGCUGCUCCUUCUUCUUGUUGCUCCUCCCUCUGUCUUCUUCCUGCUUCUGUGCCAUCCGGAGUCAUCGGUGUUGUAGGCCUAGAUGCAGUUAAGGAGGCCUCGGGAGGAGAUGGGGCGGCGGCGCCAAUCUGGAGGGCUGCGGGGAGGAGUCCCGGAUCGGGAGACGGGAUCAGGCGCAGGCGUGAUUGAUUUGGGGAAUCGGUGGAAUUUUCGUUCGCUGGUUUUUCUUGUGGGCCUGGAUCGGGGAGUCGGUGGAGUGACCGCGCGUUGCUAUGGAUCAACAACAAACUCAUGUACUCGCUCCGUUCAACAAAAGACAUCUCAAAUUUGUCAAAAUUUGGAUGUAUCUAGAUAAGACUUGGUGUAUAGAUUCAUUCAAAAUUAGUCAAAGUUGAAACAUCCUUUUGUUAGACGGAGGAAUAUGAUUCUUCACUGUGCACAUCACCUCAAACAAACAUACUAAGAAGCAAAAAGGUAUAAUAAUAAACGUAAAGACAAAUUAAAUGAAGUCAUCAGAGUACCCGUGCUCUGAACCACAUAUAAAAUAAUAGAAAGUAGUUGAGCAUUCAUAAGAAAACUUGAUAUGCUUGUGUUUAUUCACCAGAAUUGUUUGGCAAAGUGCCGAUGUAUCGUUCAAAGUGAUUAAUUUCUAGCAAGUAACCAGACAGUAUCAAACCAUUCUGAUCCUUAAAUUCAUAAGGAACACAACAAGGUACCCACAAUAGUGUGAGGAGAACUCCCAGAAUAAAAAGCGGAGAUAAUUGAAGAACAUACUGGCUCUAGCAUAUGGAAACUUCUUCAACAGCAUCAUCCCUAUAUCGUGGUGGUUCUCCAUUCCUGCAGUCCAAGAACUCAUCUCUGCUCAGGUCGAUAUAAUCAAGAUCGUAUGGAAACUUCUUCAACAAACAAUGCAAACAAUGGUGCAUUAAGAGCGGCCCAUUCCCUGCAAAUGCAAAGUGAAGAAACAAUGUAGAAAUUGACACAAAUGCUCGAAGUCAACAGAAUUUGUGUCAUGGUGAAGAACAUAUUCCAGGUAGGCACAAUUAAACUUCGAAGAACAGGGCAUUUGACAACACACCUCAAAUGAAACUAUAAAUCCACAGUUUUUAUGAAACAUAGCAUGUUGCAUUCAACAGUUAAGUACAAAAUCAUGAGUCUUCCUCCAUCUUAAAGAAUUACUCUCUGGACUGGAACUAUUUCUUACCUUUCUUUAAGUUCUAUUAAGGCAGGAGUUGCAGUCCCGGUAUAAAUACCCAUGUAAAGAUUUCUAAAAGUCAAAAUUCAAGUGGAACCAGAACCAGCAGGUAUAAAUGAAAAGCAAGAACGACAUCCAACUCUAAGCAAAAGUAAAGUAUGGAAAUUACUGGAGAUGGAGAUGCGUAUGGCAUGUUGUAACAAAUCUGGAUAGAUUUAGGAACCAUGUAACCUGGACACUUUAAAAGAUAUCCCAAGAUUGAAGAAUGGUGUGUACAUACAGGAGCACACAAGAU
rnacentral:lncRNA from 1 species